rnacentral:lncRNA from 1 species
CCUCACCAUAAAUCCAUGCAUAUUCACAUGAUCACCUGUAAUGUUCAUAUAAUAUAUCAAGACAAUAGACUAACUCUAUUAAAACAUGUUUACUUUAAGAAUACAAAAGUAUUACUAUUCUAUUUCACAAGUCAUACAUACGUAAGUUUUAAAAAGAUUGUAAGACCAAAUGGACAUUCCCUAAAAUAACCCUACAAGUCGUCAUCAAUGUUUAUCGACUUUCGAAAUCCUGCAAGAGCUUCACAUCCCAGCAAUGUUAUGUAUGGAGCUCCAAGCUCAUCAAACUCACUACAAUUCAAGAACUACAUAAGCUAAUGCUCAAUAUGUAAAAAUUAUGCAUGCCAUGAAUAUGAAUGUGUCCAUGCCAUUUCUUUUGAAAACAUUAUGCAAAUGAUACAUCAUAUUAAAAUAUUCAUCAAAGCAAGCUCAAAAUAAUUUCAUUUGAAAAUGUCUCUUUUCAUUGGGUCCUUCACGCACCUACUAUGCACCGAAUAGAGUUUUAUGCAAUAUCAAUAUCAAUAAUCAAAUGUCCAAUAUAAUAUCGAUACAGUCAAGUGGACCAUCCUCCUAUGACCACUAGAGGUACAUCCCUAACUGCCCCUAUGAUCAAUCACCCAAGAAUUAUCCCAUCCUGACAUCAAUAAUCAUAAUAUCACCAAAGCAUAAUCAAGUGGUCCAUCAUCCCGUGAUCGUCAAAGGUACAUUCCCUAUAUUCCUACAUGAUAACAGGAAAGUCUCACUUGUGAUGCCAACAAAUAUCACAUAAGCAAGCUCGCAUGCCUUGGUGCCCAAAUUGUGGUCAAUAAAAUAUUUUAUAAUGUAAAUUCAUUUUUUCAAAUCAUGUCGUGCAUGCUAGAUAUUUUUUAGUGUGGACAUGUCAUGCAUGCACAUAUAAAUGCUUAUGAAUAGCAUACUCAAUCAAAGUGGAUGCCAACAUGCUCUUGAAACACCUAAUCAAUCAUCAUGACCAACAUAGGAUACAAUAAGUUCAUUAUCAAAAUUACAUAAAAGUCAUGACAAUGAUAAAUAGAAAAAUAUUUCAAUGGAUACUAUGUUCUUGCAUCGUAAUUGCAAAUGAGUUUUUACUUAUCUUUUGCCUCCGUGUGUGUGCUCUGUAUGAGGUAUAAGUCAAGUCUUUUUCCCACCUAAAGUUGAAAAAAAAUAAAAAUUAAAAAAAUUAAAACCCAUAUUAUCAUCUAAUAUCAAACAAUAUUCUCAAUUUGUUAAUCUUAACUCACACAAAAUCCUGUACUACAACCACAAACGCCAACAUAACUAGAUAGCAUUAGCAUUUCAAGCAACCAGUAUAACUCGCGCUAUUUUCAAGUUCAAUGAAUGUAAAAACUAUCUAAUUCAAUCAUUAACGACCUAACACUCAUUCUAAAAUCAAAUUUCCAAGCUUUAGAGGUGAUUAGUGAUCACGUAAAUGUGAAACUACAUGAAAUUUGAAAAUGGAAAGAAUCUGAUUUUGAGUUCCUAUCACUGUCCACUUAAUUUUCUUACCACUUUUUGCACCCUUAACCAUACCAAACUUUUACCGAACUUAUAUAACAUCCAUAUGAAUGAAAUAAUGCCCUAAAAUUGCCAUAAGUGAAAGGUUUGCAGCAUCAAAGUCAGUCCCUUUUUUCAGAAUACCAAAUCAGAAAUUUCACUAUGGCUGAUAAGAACCAUGGGACAAAGGAGUCAAAAGGUGACGCACACGCAAGCAAAAUAGGCCAUGCUCG